UCACAACCCAUUAAUGAAUACUAGUUUGAAAGAAAGUUCUGUUUAUUUGUCCGUUCCUCGUUGUUUUAGUAAUGAAUCUUCGCGUAAUCCUCAGUUAAAUACUUGUUUUUUUCCAGCUCAAUUGCCUAUUUUCAGGCACAUUUUUAUUAAUUUUAUAGGAUUAUCUAUUAUGUCUAAUACAACAACUGGUUCAGUUAAAUGGUUUAAUGAAGCAAAAGGUUUUGGUUUUAUCGAGCAAGAGUCAGGUCCUGACGUUUUCGCUCACUUUAGCGCUAUUGCUAGCGAUGGUUUUAAAACUUUAGCUGAAGGUCAGCGUGUACAGUUUACUGUAACUGAUGGCCAAAAAGGCCCGCAAGCAGAAAACAUUGUUUGCAUCUAAAUGAUAUUUU
rnacentral:sRNA from 1 species